rnacentral:rRNA from 1 species
AGCAGCAGCCGCGGGAAUACGAAGGGUGCAAGCGCUACUUGGAAUUACUGGGCGUAAAGCGUGCGUAGGCGGUUCGUUAAGUCUGUUGUGAAAGCCCCGGGCUCAACCUGGGAAUGGCAAUGGAUACUGGCGAGCUAGAGUGUGUCAGAGGAUGGUGGAAUUCCCGGUGUAGCGGUGAAAUGCGUAGAUAUGUGGAGGAAUACCGAUGGCGAAGGCAGCCCCCUGGGAUAACACUGACGCUCAUGCACGAAAGCGUGGGGAGCAAACAGGAUUAGAUACCCGCGUAGUCCCUGUCUCUUAUAC